rnacentral:ncRNA from 1 species
CCCAGUGCAAUCCGUUGCACUAUCGUUAACUGAAUACAUAGGUUAAACGAGGCGAACCGGGGGGAAACUGAAACAUCUAAGUACCCCGAGGAAAAGAAAUCAACCGAGAUUCCCCCAGUAGCGGCGAGCGAACGGGGGAGCAGCCCGGAGUCUGAAUCAGCUUGUGUGUUAGUGGAACGGUCUGGAAAGUCCGACGGUACAGGGUGAUAGUCCCGUACACGAAAAUGCACAUGCUGUGAACUCGAAGAGUAGGGCGGGACACGUGGUAUCCUGUCUGAAUAUGGGGGGGACCAUCCUCCAAGGCUAAAUACUCCUGACUGACCGAUAGUGAACCAGUACCGUGAGGGAAAGGCGAAAAAGAACCCCGGCGAGGGGAGUGAAAAAGAACCUGAAACCGUGUACGUACAAGCAGUGGGAGCCUCUUUAUGGGGUGGACUGCGUACCUUUUGUAUAAUGGGUCAGCGACUUAUAUUCUGUAGCAAGGUUAACCGUAUAGGGGAGCCGAAGGGAAACCGAGUCUUAACUGGGCGUUAAGUUGC